rnacentral:sRNA from 1 species
AUGAUGCACUGUUGGAGAUAAUGAAA